AAAAGGUAUCAAGGGCACACGGUGGAUGCCUUGGCGCCUGCAGCCGACGAAGGACGCGGCAAGCUGCGAAAAGCUCCGGCGAGACGCAAGCGGUCAUCGACCCGGAGAUCUCCGAAUGGGGCAACCCGUCCGGCUAUGGCCGGACACCCCGCUUUAUUGCGGGGGGGAACCGGGCGAAGUGAAACAUCUCAGUAGCCCGAGGAGCAGAAAUCGAAGAGAUUCCCCCAGUAGUGGUGAGCGAACAGGGAACAGCCUAAACCGAUCCGAUGCCAAGACUGCGGUCGUUGUCGGACUCGGGGUUGCGGGAUCGUCCGUUGUACCGCCGCAGCGGUGCAUGCAAGUGAUAAACCGAACACACAGCCGAAUCGUAUUGGGAAAGCGAGCCGUCGAGGGUGAAAGCCCCGUAGGCGAAGUCUGUUCGGCUUGCAGCGACGACACCCGAGUAGGCCGGAGCACGUGGAAUUCCGGUUGAACCAGGGCCGACCAUGGUCCAAGGCUAAAUACUGCAGGCGACCGAUAGUGGAUCAGUACCGAGAGGGAAAGGUGAAAAGCACCCCUGGCGGGGAGUGAAACAGACCUGAACCCGUGUGCCUACAAGCAAUCGGAGCGCUAGUGCGUCUGCGAAGUCGCACAGCGUGACGGUGUGCCUUUUGCAAAAUGAGCCGGCGAGUCAUCAUUGGUAGCGAGGUUAAGAUCCUUACAAGGAUUGCAGCCGCAGGGAAACCGAGUCUUAACAGGGCGUCUUAGUUUCCAGUGAUGAACCCGAAGCCGCACGAUCUAUCCAUGGGCAGGUUGAAGCCUCGGUGAAACGGGGUGGAGGACCGAACCGCAGCCUGUUGAAAAAGUCUCGGAUGACCUGUGGAUAGGAGUGAAAAGCUAAUCGAGUGCGGUAAUAGCUGGUUCUCCCCGAAACGCAUUUAGGUGCGGCCUUUGGAGUGACUUGCGGGGGUAGAGCACUGGAUGGACGCGGGGGACUGGGGUCCUACCAACUUCAACCAAACUUCGAAUACCGUUUAGUUUAAUCCAGGGAGAGAGACCGCGUGAGAGAAGUUUCGCGGUCGAGAGGGAAAGAGCCCUGACCGUCGGCUAAGGCCCCCAAGAUAUGCUCAGUGUGGCAAGGAUGUGGAAAUGCCCGGACAGCCAGCAGGUUGGCUUAGAAGCAGCCACCCUUUAAAGAGUGCGUAACAGCUCACUGGUCGAGGAUUUCCGCGCCGAAAAUACAGGGGGCUAAGCAUAUCGCCGAAGCCGCGGAAUCGUGCGUGUUUGUGCGUAUGAUUGGUAGGGGAGCGUUCCUCCGGGGGUGAAGCGACAGCCGCGAGGCGUCGUGGACCCUGAGGAAGUGAGAAUGCCGGCAUGAGUAGCGCAAAGUGUGUGAGAAACACACUCACCGUAAGCCCAAGGAUUCCUGGGGAAGGUUCGUCCGCCCAGGGUAAGGCGGGACCUAAGGCGAGGCCGAAGGGCGUAGCCGAUGGACAGCAGGUUGAGAUUCCUGCCCCGAUGCAUUCCGUUUGACAGAAGUGGUGACGCAGCAAGCUAGGCGGAUCCGGGCGAUGGACAUCCCGGACCAAGGGAAGUAGGCGCACCGCGCAGGCAAAUCCGCGCGGCGAGGCCGAGGCCCGACGGGGAGCCUUCGUAAUGAAGGCGAAGCCGCUGACGCUCCACUGCCUGGAAAAGCCGCUAUGGAGGCAUGCAUCGCCCGUACCGCAAACCGACACAGGUGGGCUGGCUUAGGAGGCCAAGGUGAGCGGGAUAACUCUCGUUAAGGAACUCUGCAAGUUGACCCCGUAACUUUGGGAGAAGGGGUGCCGCCCGCGUCAACCCGCUAGCCGGGUGCAGCGUGGUGCGGCCGCAGAAACCAGGCUCAGGCGACUGUUUACUAAAAACACAGGUCUCUGCACAAGGCGCAAGCCGAAGUAUAGGGACUGACACCUGCCCGGUGCCGGAAGGUUAAAUGGAUGGGUUAGCGCUAUUGCAGUGCGAAGCCUUGAAAUGAAGCCCCGGUAAACGGCGGCCGUAACUAUAACGGUCCUAAGGUAGCGAAAUUCCUUGUCGGGUAAGUUCCGACCCGCACGAAUGGUGUAACGAUCUG
rnacentral:rRNA from 1 species